rnacentral:rRNA from 1 species
AACGAACGCUGGCGGCAUGCCUAACACAUGCAAGUCGAACGAGACCUUCGGGUCUAGUGGCGCACGGGUGCGUAACGCGUGGGAACCUGCCCUUAGGUUCGGAAUAACUCCCCGAAAGGGGUACUAAUACCGGAUAAUGUCUUCGGACCAAAGAUUUAUCGCCUUUGGAUGGGCCCGCGUUGGAUUAGCUAGUUGGUAGGGUAAAAGCCUACCAAGGCGACGAUCCAUAGCUGGUCUGAGAGGAUGAUCAGCCACACUGGGACUGAGACACGGCCCAGACUCCUACGGGAGGCAGCAGUGGGGAAUAUUGGACAAUGGGCGAAAGCCUGAUCCAGCAAUGCCGCGUGAGUGAUGAAGGCCUUAGGGUUGUAAAGCUCUUUUACCCGGGAUGAUAAUGACAUUACCGGGAGAAUAAGCUCCGGCUAACUCCGUG